rnacentral:rRNA from 1 species
CAUGCAGGUGGUUUCGUUAGUCGGAUGUGAAAGUCUCUGGCUUAACUAGAGGAGGUCGUUCGAUACUGCGAAACUAGAGGUCGGGAGAGGAAAGCGGAAUUCCCGGUGUAGUGGUGGAAUGCGUAGAUAUCGGGAGGAACACCAGUGGCGAAGGCGGCUUUCUGGCCCGCACCUGACACUAAGAUGCGAAAGCGUGGGUAGCGAAC